rfam:Apis mellifera strain DH4 linkage group 8, whole genome shotgun sequence.
GGCCUGCGAGGCUUUUUUUCAGCGAUGAAUAAAAAUAUUGUUCAUCGUUGGAAAAAAGUCUUGGAGA